GUUAAAAGUAAUGCAAACACAACUUGCACAAAAAGUUGGUUCAAAUGGUGCAAGAAGUGAGGGAAGGGGACACUUUAUAUACAGAAAUAGUUCUACAGCCUUUGGGAACAGUGAACUUACAGGACUUGUCAUCGAAAAACACAUCUUAUAAUUUAUUUCCUGGUAUACUUUGUUAUCAAAACUGAUAGACAGUAACAAGUCAGGAAGAUUUGAAGGAAAUGACCGUAUGUCCCUGCCUGAUCUGAAGAAACAGGUAUCUGAAUUGGGCUCUAAAAUGUGGUUCCCAGUGAGUGCACCGUGCUAUUCUGCUCACAUAAUGCCAAACUUCCCUGAUAAGAAGUUUGCUUUUCCUUGGGAGGUCGUGUUCUUUCCAUCCCCUGCCUUGGAAGGCACGUCUAUCGUAACAUACCUAAUCUGAAACCCACCAGCAGUCACUGAGGCAUCUGACAGAAACUUCAGGGUCAUCACGUUACCUGUGCUAAUGAUAUCAUCUGGCAGCUCAUCUCCAC
rnacentral:lncRNA from 1 species